CUGCCCAGUCUGCCUCCAGUAGAGGGAAAAUGGGGCAAGCCAGCUUGAGGGAUGACUGAACACAUAUGAGGGAGCAAAGACAAGGCAGGGGAUCAAGCCAGAAGGAAUUGGCUGCAAAGGAGGGAUUGGCAUUGACAUUAAUGGGAAGGAGAUAUUGCCAUGGUUUGCCAAAAAUGAGACAGAACAUUUUCUUUCCCCCUGAGGGAUAUGCGUUGGAAACAGGCAAAAGGUGGGUGCCUCAAAGUCACAAGAGAGUUUUGCUGUAAAAAUAAGAACACACACACUAAAAUCUCCAGCACUAACUCUAAGAGUAAAUCAAACAUUUUCCUCAUUCCUUAAACACAACAACUCACCAAAUGCAUCGGAAAAGGCAAAUGAAUAAUGGAGCCCAUCAUGGUUCACAGCUGUCCAGGGAAUUUCAGGUACUCUUGGGAUCUUGUGGCUCCUAACAUGGCAGUAAAGUGCAUUUCUUAAAUAGGACUUUCUUUAGAAUUUUCUUCUCCUUUUUGUCUACAUACAAUUUUUUUAACAUAUAUAUAUGUACAUUAAGUACCUCACACAAUAUUAUCAGGUUGUUAUGGGUAUUAUCAUAAUUAAUUAAUUCCCCUUAAAAUAUAUAGCUAGUUUCAAGGUCAAGAAAAUUAACAAAUGGCCAAUAACAAACUAACUAACUAUAUAUAUAUAUAUUGAAAUAAAAUUCCUAAGAAAAUCA
rnacentral:lncRNA from 1 species